rnacentral:rRNA from 1 species
GACGAACGCUGGCGGCGUGCUUAACACAUGCAAGUCGAGCGGUAAGGCCUCUUCGGGGGUACACGCGCGGCGAACGGGUGAGUAACACGUGGGUGACCUGCCCUCCGCUCUGGGAUAGGCCUGGGAAACUGGGUCUAAUACCGGAUAUGACCUUUCCUCGCAUGGGGGUUGGUGGAAAGUUUUUUCGGCUGGGGAUGGGCGCGCGGCCUAUCUGCUUGUUGGUUGGUGGAUGGCCUACCCAGGCGACGACGGGUAGCCGGCCUGAGAGGGCGACCGCCCAGAGUGUGACAGAGACACGGCACAGACUCCUGCGGGAGGAAGCAGUGGGGAAGAUUGCUCAGUGGGCGCAAGCCGGACGAAGCGACGCCGCGGGGUGGAGGACGGCCUGCGGGUUGCAGACCUCGUUCGACCCCGACGAAUUUGGACGGUAGGGGUAGAAGAAGCACCGGCCAACUACGUG